rnacentral:rRNA from 1 species
UACAGAGGGUGCGAGCGUUAAUCGGAAUUACUGGGCGUAAAGCGUGCGUAGACGGCUAUCUAAGUCGAGUGUGAAAGCCCCGGGCUCAACCUGGGAAUUGCAUUCGAGACUGAAUAGCUAGGGUACGGUAGAGGGAAGCGGAAUUUCCGGUGUAGCGGUGAAAUGCGUAGAUAUCGGAAGGAACAUCAGUGGCGAACGCGGCUUCCUGGACCAGUACCGACGUUCAGGCACGAAAGCGUGGGGAGCAAACAGG